UACGUAGGGUGCAAGCGUUGUCCGGAAUUAUUGGGCGUAAAGAGCUCGUAGGCGGUCUGUUGCGUCGGCUGUGAAAACCCGGGGCUCAACCCCGGGCCUGCAGCCGAUACGGGCAGACUAGAGUUCGGCAGGGGAGACUGGAAUUCCUGGUGUAGCGGUGAAAUGCGCAGAUAUCAGGAAGAACACCGGUGGCGAAGGCGGGUCUCUGGGCCGAUACUGACGCUGAGGAGCGAAAGCGUGGGGAGCAAACAGG
rnacentral:rRNA from 1 species